rnacentral:rRNA from 1 species
UACGUAGGGUGCGAGCGUUAAUCGGAAUUACUGGGCGUAAAGGGUGCGCAGGCGGUUAUAUAAGACAGAUGUGAAAUCCCCGGGCUCAACCUGGGAACUGCGUUUGUGACUGUAUGACUAGAGGUACGGUAGAGAGGGGUGGAAUUCCUGGUGUAGCAGUGAAAGUGACGUAGAUAGUCAGGAGGAACAUCGAUGGCGAAGGCAG